UAAGUUAGCUUGAAAGCUGAAGAUUUCAAGUUUGACCUUGUCACAUGAGAAUUCCUCUCAGGGAGUAUAAACUUUAGAUUACUCCACUUUACUUAGUCUAACAAAAAUCAGGAAAUUGUGAACUUUAGAUUACUCUACCCUACUUAGUCUAACAAAAUCAGUAAUGUCUACACCCAUACUGAAGGAUUAAGUAUUUAGGAGGGUGACCUAUGACACACAUGUGCUAGCAAAUGACAAAUCAGAAACAACUGACAGAUCCCUGGGCUAUCCUAAGUCAAGCUUAAGCUACCAUUGGUACAUGUGAGACACAGGAAGUGAUGUAAAACCCUCUAUAUGUUUUGCAUCACUUCCUCUCUCUGGCCUCUUUGAUGGUGGAGAGGUGGCUGGUGGCAGCUUGCUGAGUGUGUCAGCAUCUUGGUGUGGCGGCUGCUAUUGUCCGUGUUUAAUGGUGAGUUUUCCUUGAUACCAUACUGGAGGAAGCCUAGUUACCUAGUUCAGUUCAACAAGGCCCUCUUCUCCUCUCCUCACACCUGGACUAUUAAAAUAGCCUGCUGGUGAGUCGGCUUGCCACAAGUCUCUCUCCACUCCAUUCCAUCCACCAUUCAGUCACCCAGGUAAA
rnacentral:lncRNA from 1 species